AGCACAGUUGCUGGAUCAUAUGGUGAGAGUAUAUUUAAUUUUGUAAAAAACUACCAAAUCUCUUCCACAAUGGCUGUACCAUUUUGUAUUCCCAUCAGUGGU
rnacentral:pre_miRNA from 1 species